GGUGCUCCGGGCCGCAGGGAACUGGUGGGCGCUUCUGACAGUGAGAACAGGGGCCCAUUAUGUGGAAUCUAAUCACAUGGGCGCGCAAGCAGCUCCAGUUUUGGUUCUGAGAAGCGCUUAUGCAGCCGCAUCUCUCUCCCUCCACUCUCGUGAUUUCAGGCAGCGCUGGGUCCUGGGUCUGGCGCGUGGUGGCCGGGCGCAGCUGGGCUCCCGGGAGGGCCAGAUUCACAGCUCGCCUAGGCUCAAUUUUCCGCCUGGGGUUGGGAGCUGCAUCAACAGCAUUUCCAGUGAGGCCAGAGGCCCCACCCGAUAGGGGAAAGCAGAGGAAGGGAGUUUGUAACAGGAAAGGAGGUGGAUAGCGAGCGCCGCCCCCUCCUGGCUCCCCACCCGGGGCGAUCUGGGUUCGCCAGGUGACGUUGGGGGAGACCCCUCUGCACGACCUCUCUUUAGAGAGGACUGGACGUUGUCUGCCCAUCCUAGGCGUUCCGGAGCGCUACUCCCUGCCGGAACCGACGCGCGGGACUCGGCGGUUAUCAGAAGCCGAGACCGCCUCCCCGCCCGGAUUCUUGUCCCUCGCCCUGUCAAGCCGCAGAGCGCAGGGAGGAAGGCGGCGCCGCAGGGGAACUCACCGGUUCUCCUGAGCCCUGCUCCGGGCGGCUCCCGGCCCUGGCUCAGUCGAUGAGCAUCGUGAAGCUCCAGAAGGAGUAGUGACCUGCCCGCGGUCACAUAGAACAGCGCCAGUGCCAAGAAUUCAAGUAUCCUACCUUGAGGGCCCCCGCGCAGUCUGUCAGCCUUCAGGCUUCCCAGGACGUCCGGGGACGCGACCAGGUGUUGCCCUAGGAACAGGUCUGUGGGGACAGGUCUCCCAGGCCAGGAAAGCGAGACAAGUGGGAGCACGUGGGUGUGAUCUGUGGUGUGGACUAGCAUCAUUUCCUCUUUCUGGAAAGAAGGGAGGUGAAGCAAAGGAGGAAGGAAGUGGUCGUACCUCCGCUGACGUCUGCCGUUUGAAGAUGUGCAGGAUCUAGACCUGGGCUGCUUCCCUGAGCUUUCAUGCUAAAAAUGCAAACGCAAUAAAAU